GACGGGGGAUGCAAGUGUUAUCCGGAAUCACUGGGCGUAAAGAGCUCGUAGGCGGUCUGUCGCGUCUGCCGUGAAAACCCGAGGCUUAACCUCGUGGCUUGCGGUGGAUACGGGCAGACUAGAGGUAGGUAGGGGAGAAUGGAAUUCCCGGUGUAGCGGUGAAAUGCGCAGAUAUCGGGAGGAACACCGGUGGCGAAGGCGGUUCUCUGGGCCUUACCUGACGCUGAGGAGCGAAAGCGUGGGGAGCGAACAGG
rnacentral:rRNA from 1 species